rnacentral:rRNA from 1 species
UACGGAGGGGGGUUAGCGUUGUUCGGAAUUACUGGGUGUAAAGGGAGCGUAGACGGCAGGGCAAGUCCGAUGUGAAAACCCGGGGCUCAACCGCGGGAUUGCAUUGGAAACUGCUCGGCUCGAGUACUGGAGGGGUAAGCGGAAUUCCUAGUGUAGCGGUGAAAUGCGUAGAUAUUAGGAGGAACACCGGCGGCGAAGGCGGCUUACUGGACAGUAACUGACGUUGAGGCUCGAAAGCGUGGGGAGCAAACAGG